UGCAAGUCGAGCGGACAGAAGGGAGCUUGCUCCCGGAUGUUAGCGGCGGACGGGUGAGUAACACGUGGGUAACCUGCCUGUAAGACUGGGAUAACUCCGGGAAACCGGAGCUAAUACCGGAUAGUUCCUUGAACCGCAUGGUUCAAGGAUGAAAGACGGUUUCGGCUGUCACUUACAGAUGGACCCGCGGCGCAUUAGCUAGUUGGUGGGGUAAUGGCUCACCAAGGCGACGAUGCGUAGCCGACCUGAGAGGGUGAUCGGCCACACUGGGACUGAGACACGGCCCAGACUCCUACGGGAGGCAGCAGUAGGGAAUCUUCCGCAAUGGACGAAAGUCUGACGGAGCAACGCCGCGUGAGUGAUGAAGGUUUUCGGAUCGUAAAGCUCUGUUGUUAGGGAAGAACAAGUGCGAGAGUAACUGCUCGCACCUUGACGGUACCUAACCAGAAAGCCACGGCUAACUACGUGCCAGCAGCCGCGGUAAUACGUAGGUGGCAAGCGUUGUCCGGAAUUAUUGGGCGUAAAGGGCUCGCAGGCGGUUUCUUAAGUCUGAUGUGAAAGCCCCCGGCUCAACCGGGGAGGGUCAUUGGAAACUGGGAAACUUGAGUGCAGAAGAGGAGAGUGGAAUUCCACGUGUAGCGGUGAAAUGCGUAGAGAUGUGGAGGAACACCAGUGGCGAAGGCGACUCUCUGGUCUGUAACUGACGCUGAGGAGCGAAAGCGUGGGGAGCGAACAGGAUUAGAUACCCUGGUAGUCCACGCCGUAAACGAUGAGUGCUAAGUGUUAGGGGGUUUCCGCCCCUUAGUGCUGCAGCUAACGCAUUAAGCACUCCGCCUGGGGAGUACGGUCGCAAGACUGAAACUCAAAGGAAUUGAC
rnacentral:rRNA from 2 species